AUCGAACGCUGGCGGCAUGCCUAACACAUGCAAGUCGAGCGGAGCGGCGGACGGGUGAGUAAUUCUUACGAAUCUGCCUUGUAGUGCGGUAUAACGUCCGGCAACGGGCCCUAAUACCGCACCCUAUCAGAUGAGCCUCGGUCGGUUUAGCUAGUUGGUGGUGUAAAGGCCUACCACGGCGACGAUCCGUUACUGGUCUGGGAGGAUGGUCAGUCAGACUGGUAAUGUGACGCCGUCCAGACUCCUCCGGGGGGCAAGAGUGGGGAAUGUUGGGCAAAGGGCAAAAGCCUGGUCCAACCAUGCCGCGUGUGUGGAGAAGGUCUUCGGAUUGUAAAGCACUUUAAGUUGGGAGGCGUUACCAACAGAAUAAGCACCGGCUAACUACGUGCCAGCAGCCGCGGUAAUAC
rnacentral:rRNA from 1 species